UUUCAUACAGCACGACAUCAUCAAAAAAAAUAAAUAAAACAAGUAAACAAAAAGUGACAAAAUUAAAUGAAGUGCAGAAGGAAAGUGACUUGAGAAUUUACGACGAUGAGGGCAAUGACGUGACACCGAAAUUUCUGAUCCACGAGUACUAUGCACACGUCCAAGAUCCAGGUCAGUUGGUCAACUGGGAUGCGCUGACACUGAAGCAGCAGAGCAGUUCGGUUCAAUUACUGACCCCGUCUCGAGGCUGCCGAUCAAGUUCAUCUUUGAUCAAAGCUUCUUCACUUUACACGAUGGCUAUGCCGCUUGAAGAUACCAUGGAAAGUCUCUUGUCAAUUUAUAAUCAAGAUUCACUGAGUGUUGAUGAUCAUGAUCGUGCGCCUUCACCUUUUUGUCUGCCCAGCGUAGAUCCUGUUUUACAAACGCGCCCGGAAAAGUUGACGGUAAUUUUAAGAGAGACUGAGACAUUUUUUAUAUUGGAGAUGCCUCAGCUGACGGCUGAUUUGGACACUCCAGAAGGUCAGGCUGUCAAGGAAGCUAACGAGAGGUACGAGUAUAUAACCGAGGGCGAGGGACGGAAUCGCAGAUUGGCUGAAGCCGAGACUCAGACGAUGCGAAUUUAUACCAAGUCGCGGUCAACUUACUUGGGAAGAAAGAAGAGGAUGAAUCGCGGUACUUUUGUCAACAAUUGGGUUAUGUAUGACACCUAUAACUCUGCUGAGACAGUUGAUACCGAAGAUGGAAGGAAUAGUGGCAAGAAAACUCAGGAUCGUAAUAAAUUUACAAAAUUAAUCCAGGAAGACUUGGCUGACACUGAGGAUCCUCUAGCUCGUUUAUACGAAAAUGAAUCAUUUGCAUCAGCGGUCCGAAUAAUGGAGCGAAUAAUUGCCAGCAAGUUCUACACAGUAGCUCAGAAACGAUUCAAAGGGCUGAUAAAAAAAGAUCCAUGUAGUCUGGAGCUCGAAUUCACAUACAGUUUGGAUCUUCUGUGGACUCACGAGUGCCCGGAAGUCAAAGGACGUUCAGUAAAUUGUAUUCGUUGGAAUUACAAGAACGAUAAUCUUUUGGCAGCUGGUUACGGCUCGACUCCCGAACAACCCAACGGUAUUUUACUUAUCUGGUGUAUAAAAAAUCCAAGUCAACCAGACCGAAUUUACAGAUUCGACUCAGCAGUCUCGGACUGCGAUUGGAGUCGUCAAAAACCGAAUCAACUGGCCGUAGGUUUCUACGACGGAACUAUCAAAGUUAUUGACGUAAGUAGUAGAAGUCUAGUAGUCUUACGUAAAAGCUCACGUGAAACUUGUCCGACUUAUUGGCCUCAUUGGCAAGUCCAGUGGUGGCUAGAUGAUGACCCACUUGAUCCGCUGCACUCUAAUCAAGAAUUAAUUUACACAAGCAAUCAAGACGGUUCUAUUUUCUGCUUCGCCCCAAGCAAAGACUUUCCAGCGACUCGGAUCAUGAAGAUUCCCAGAAUAGAAGACAAAAUACCCGGUGUAAAACGAACCAAUAGCGGCGGGAUUCUCUAUGACAUCCCCAUCAGCAAAAACCCAGGAAUUCUACUGCUGCGUCGUCAUCCGACGAUAAGUAACAUCUACUACGUCGGCUCUGACGAAGGUUGCGUCUACCGCUGCUCUACCAACUACCUGAGCCAUCACGUAGACAACUUUCUAGCUCACAACGGUCCCUUUUAUUCCCUGGAGUUUUCCCCAUUCUGUCCGAAAAUCUUCUUAACCUGCGGCUCGGACUGGUGCACCAGGAUUUGGGCAGAUGGCAUCACCGAUCCUCUGAUAACUCUUUCGACCCACAUGGCCUGCGUCCAAGCGGCUGCCUGGAGCCCAAACAACUCAACAGUAAUCGCCACCUGCGUCAGCAACGAAAUAAACAUCUGGGAUCUAAAGCGACGAACCCACCGGCCAACUUCCGUUACCGUUCUCCCAUCACUCACCCGUAUCAUGCUACUUGAAUUCACUAAAACUGGAAAUCAAUUGGUAGCAGCAGACCUCAGCGGCACUAUUUACAUUUACAACCUCGAAGGAAUGCCUUUUCCUCCAUUCGAGCAGACUUCCGUGUUGCUCGAGGCCAUCGAGAAGAGUCUGGCCAUUAAACCAGCACUCUUAAGAAAACUUCAUAAACUGGGUUCUUCAUUCUAAUUAUCAGCAUCAUUAUCCUACUACUCAGGUACCGAUAAUUAUAAUUGAACACGCAGACUGGACUAGACCACUACAGAUAUUUUAUUUAAAACACAAGGGCUUGAUUACCGACACCCUGGGAAGGUAUUCCCGUAUCGUGGGGACCCCUGACGGUUUCAGUGACCAGUCAUCGUCACCUGGAAGCAUAAAUUAUCUCCGGGGAAAAGGUAACACUGGAGAGCAAGGAAAGAAGGCCAUCGCUUUGGAGCCGCGUUAGCUUUAUCCUUAGCCUUAGCCUUAGCCAUAGCCUUGUGAAUAUAUAUAUAUAUAUAUAUAAUAUAUCGUUGAGCUUCUUUCAACCAGACCAGACAACUCGGGAAAGAGAGAGGAAAGGCGUUCCAGCAGACCAGUAGGGGCCUCGGCGGGCUCGCCUGCAGGCACAAAUCCGCGCUACCGCCGUCGCCGCGCAGUUUCAUUACGCCCGCAUUAAACUAUACGCGCAAGGUGCUGCCCUGUGAUAAUUUGGGAACCAAGUGAUAAUUGUUUAUUACCAUUAUCAUUAUUAACUUUAUUUUUAAAUAAAUUAUUUAUUUGCUCAAGAGUUGGUUCAAUAAAUCACUCUGGUAGCAGGUGUGCCGGGUGAGUCUCCUUCUGUCUGUCCAGUCAGCCUGAUUCAGGAUGCCGGAGAAGAAAAUUAAUUGCUAAGGUGACUUGAAGCGACGACACUGGAACGUCGAUGAGGAAAUUAGAAACGAGGAAACGGAGCAAGUAAACCUUGAAGAGGAUAACGACUCUCCCAAGGAGGAUGCGUGUACGCUGCAGGAGGUGGACUUGGUGGCG